ensembl:snRNA U6 U6 spliceosomal RNA
CUGCUUUAAUAGCACAUGUAUUAAAAUUAGAAUGAUAUGAAGAUUAGCAUGUUCCCUGCACUAAUAUGACAUGUAAAUCUGCAAAGUAGUGACUGCUUUG